rnacentral:rRNA from 1 species
CCCUUAGAUGUCCGGGGCCGCACGCGCGCUACACUGAAGGAAUCAGCGUGGCUUUCUCCCUGACCCGAAAGGGUUGGGAAACCCGUUGAAUCUCCUUCGUGAUAGGGAUUGGGGCUUGAAAUUGUUCCCCAUGAACGAGGAAUUCCCAGUAAGCGCGAGUCAUAAGCUCGCGUUGAUUACGUCCCUGCCCUUUGUACACACCGCCCGUCGCUACUACCGAUUGAACGGUUUAGUGAGGGCCUCGGAUUGGUCUCGGCCCGCUCUUUACCGGGCGGCGCCGUUGGUCGAGAAGACGCUCGAACUUGAUCGUUUAGAGGAUGUAAAAGUCGUAACA